AACGAACGCUGGCGGCGUGCUUAACACAUGCAAGUCGAACGGUGACGAUCAAGCUUGCUUGGUCUGAUCAGUGGCGAACGGGUGAGUAGCACGUGAGAAACCUGCCCCAGACUCUGGGAUAACCCCGGGAAACCGGAGCUAAUACCGGAUAUGACACUCGCACGCAUGUGCAGGGUGCGGGAAGUUUUUCGGUCUGGGAUGGGCUCGCGGCCUAUCAGCUUGUUGGUGAGGUAGUGGCUCACCAAGGCGACGACGGGUAGCCGGCCUGAGAGGGCGACCGGCCACACUGGGACUGAGACACGGCCCAGACUCCUACGGGAGGCAGCAGUGGGGAAUAUUGCACAAUGGGCGAAAGCCUGAUGCAGCGACGCCGCGUGAGGGAUGACGGCCUUCGGGUUGUAAACCUCUUUCAGCAGGGAAGAAGCGGAAGUGACGGUACCUGCAGAAGAAGCACCGGCUAACUACGUGCCAGCCGCCGCAGUAAUAC
rnacentral:rRNA from 1 species